rnacentral:rRNA from 1 species
AUGCACGCUGGCGGCGUGCCUCAUCCCUGCAAGUAGCACGCUGAAGGAGGAGCUUGCUCUUCUGGAUGAGUUGCGAACGGGUGAGUAACGCGUAGGUAACCUGCCUGGUAGCGGGGGAUAACUAUUGGAAACGAUAGCUAAUACCGCAUGACAACAGUUAUUGCAUGAUAACUGUUUAAAAGGGGCAACUGCUCCACUACCAGAUGGACCUGCGUUGUAUUAGCUAGUUGGUGAGGUAACGGCUCACCAAGGCGACGAUACAUAGCCGACCUGAGAGGGUGAUCGGCCACACUGGGACUGAGACACGGCCCAGACUCCUACGGGAGGCAGCAGUAGGGAAUCUUCGGCAAUGGACGGAAGUCUGACCGAGCAACGCCGCGUGAGUGAAGAAGGUUUUCGGAUCGUAAAGCUCUGUUGUAAGAGAAGAACGAGUGUGAGAGUGGAAAGUUCACACUGUGACGGUAUCUUACCAGAAAGGGACGGCUAACUACGUG